AAAAAAGGCUUUAGCAAUGUGAAAUAAAGGAUUUUGUUGCAGUAACAUGAAAAACAGCCAAAUUUCAUACAAGGCAUCAAGAGAUCAACUGUAAAAGUAAAUCAUAUUUGCUAAAGCUAUUGCUAUGUAUGUGCUGGAUCCAGUAAACGAGGGCACAAUCCAAAGACACUACGAAUUCAGUCGAAUAUCCAGUUUCCAAGAAGGCCAGAAAUAGCUGCAGGGAUACCUUGGCUACCUAGCCUUGCUGAUUUCAAAUGAAUAGUUGAGCUCCAAAUGACAUCUUUUAUCAUCAUCCAUGAACUUAAGUUUAGCUGUAUAUGUUCCUCUUGCAAGUGCACCUGAUGGAGUGGUCUCCUCUUCUAGCAUAUGUAUGUAGGGUUCUCGAUGAGGAGCAAAGGUGCCAAGCAUUCCCUUACUUUGAUCAACUUGAAGACCAGCCUUCCAUACUAUAUUUGUGUAGGCCAAACCAGACACAAUGUUGUGUAGAACACUAAAU
rnacentral:misc_RNA from 1 species